GACGAACGCUGGCGGCGUGCCUAAUACAUGCAAGUAGAACGCACAGGAUGCACCGUAGUUUACUACACCGUAUUCUGUGAGUUGCGAACGGGUGAGUAACGCGUAGGUAACCUGCCUGGUAGCGGGGGAUAACUAUUGGAAACGAUAGCUAAUACCGCAUAAGAACAUUUACUGCAUGGUAGAUGUUUAAAAGGUGCAAAUGCAUCACUACCAGAUGGACCUGCGUUGUAUUAGCUAGUAGGUGAGGUAACGGCUCACCUAGGCGACGAUACAUAGCCGACCUGAGAGGGUGAUCGGCCACACUGGGACUGAGACACGGCCCAGACUCCUACGGGAGGCAGCAGUAGGGAAUCUUCGGCAAUGGGGGGAACCCUGACCGAGCAACGCCGCGUGAGUGAAGAAGGUUUUCGGAUCGUAAAGCUCUGUUGUUAAGGAAGAACGA
rnacentral:rRNA from 1 species